rnacentral:rRNA from 1 species
GAUGAACGCUGGCGGCGUGCCUAAUACAUGCAAGUCGAGCGAACAGACGAGAAGCUUGCUUCUCUGAUGUUAGCGGCGGACGGGUGAGUAACACGUGGAUAACCUACCUAUAAGACUGGGAUAACUUCGGGAAACCGGAGCUAAUACCGGAUAAUAUUUUGAACCGCAUGGUUCAAAAGUGAAAGACGGUCUUGCUGUCACUUAUAGAUGGAUCCGCGCUGCAUUAGCUAGUUGGUAAGGUAACGGCUUACCAAGGCAACGAUGCAUAGCCGACCUGAGAGGGUGAUCGGCCACACUGGAACUGAGACACGGUCCAGACUCCUACGGGAGGCAGCAGUAGGGAAUCUUCCGCAAUGGGCGAAAGCCUGACGGAGCAACGCCGCGUGAGUGAUGAAGGUCUUCGGAUCGGAAAACUCUGUUAUUAGGGAAGAACAUAUGUGUAAGUAACUGUGCACAUCUUGACGUUACCUAAUCAGAAAGCCACGGCUAACUACGUG